rnacentral:rRNA from 1 species
GCAAGUCGAGCGCACUCUUCGGAGUGAGCGGCGGACGGGUUAGUAACGCGUGGGAACAUACCCUUUUCUAUGGAAUAGCCUCGGGAAACUGAGAGUAAUACCAUAUACGCCCUUCGGGGGAAAGAUUUAUCGGGAAUGGAUUGGCCCGCGUUAGAUUAGAUAGUUGGUGGGGUAAUGGCCUACCAAGUCUACGAUCUAUAGCUGGUUUUAGAGGACGAUC